rnacentral:rRNA from 1 species
GAUGAACGCUGGCGGCGUGCUUAACACAUGCAAGUCGAACGGACUUUACAUGAAGCCUAGCGAAUGUAAAGUUAGUGGCGGACGGGUGAGUAACGCGUGAAUAACCUGCCUUAUACUGGGGGACAACAGUUGGAAACGACUGCUAAUACCGCAUAAGCGCACGGAGCUGCAUGGCUCAGUGUGAAAAACUCCGGUGGUAUAAGAUGGAUUCGCGUCUGAUUAGCUAGUUGGUGAGGUAACGGCCCACCAAGGCGACGAUCAGUAGCCGGCCUGAGAGGGUGAACGGCCACAUUGGGACUGAGAUACGGCCCAGACUCCUACGGGAGGCAGCAGUGGGGAAUAUUGGGCAAUGGGGGAAACCCUGACCCAGCAACGCCGCGUGAAGGAAGAAGGCCUUCGGGUUGGUAAACUUACUUUUACCUAGGACGAAGAACGU